rnacentral:rRNA from 1 species
CGUUUCUAUGGAAGCUUGCUUCCACUGAGAAGAUAGUGGCGAACGGGUGAGUAACACGUGGGUAACCCUGCCCAUAAGAGGGGGGAUAACAUCCGGAAACGGGUGCUAAUACCGCAUAGUUUCUUGGUCGCAUGAUCGGGAAAGGAAAGACGGCCUUUGUGCUGUCGCUUAUGGAUGGACCCGCGGCGUAUUAGUUAGUUGGUGAGGUAACGGCUCACCAAGACGAUGAUACGUAGCCGACCUGAGAGGGUGAUCGGCCACAUUGGGACUGAGACACGGCCCAAACUCCUACGGGAGGCAGCAGUAGGGAAUCUUCCGCAAUGGACGAAAGUCUGACGGAGCAACGCCGCGUGAGUGAAGAAAAGGUUUUCGGAUCGUAAAACUCUGUUGUCAGAGAAGAACAAGUUGGAGAGUAACUCGCUCCAGCCUUGACGGUAUCUGACCAGAAAGCCACGGCUAACUACGUGCCAGCAGCCGC